GAUGAACGCUGGCGGCGUGCCUAAUACAUGCAAGUCGAGCGAACAGACGAGGAGCUUGUUCCUCUGACGUUAGCGGCGCACGGGUGAGUAACACGUGGAUAACCUACCUAUAUGACUGGGAUAACUACGGGAAUCCGGAGCUAAUACCGGAUAAUAUAUUGAACCGUAUGGGUCAUUAGUGAAUGACGGUUUUUCUGUCACUUAUAGAUGGAUCCGAGCUGCAUUAGCUAGUUGUUAAGGUACCGGCUUACUAAGGCAACGAUGCGUAGCCGACCUGUGAGGGUGAUCGGCCGCACUGGAACUUGGACACGGACCAGACGCCUGCGAUAGGCAGCAGUAGGGUAUCGUCCGCAGUAGGCGAAAGCUUGACGGAACGACGCCGCGUGAGAGAUGGAGGUCUUCCGAUCGUAAUACUCUGUUAUUAGUGGAAAACAAAUGUGUAAGUAACCAAAGACGUCGUGACGGUACCUAAUCAAAAAGCCACGGCUAACUACGUG
rnacentral:rRNA from 1 species